UUAAAAUCAGGCUCAGCCAAUCAGCUUUCUUCUUUAUGGAGAUCUGGUGAUGCAAUGGCUGCCAAGAACAAAAUCAUUGGCAGUGUAUGCAACCUGUCGCAUAUCUGAGUCCCCUUUAGAGACCUUCAAAACAGUU